AGCAGAAGGUCGGUUGUAGUGUCCAGUAGGUGACGGAAGCGUACCUUCAAGCUGGAUGUCAACCGCGUGUUAAGAAGAACACUUAAGGCGAUUCAUUUAAUCCGUGUUCCUGUACUUCCUCUGCUUCCGGAUGAGUUGUGAAAAUUCGACAGUAAACUAUCACCUAAAUGUUGAGAUGCAGAAACAGAAGCUCCAGUGAUGAAUCUAAAUCCAGAGCUGAGUGACCCGGAGGUGUCGGUGCUGCUGCACUUUGCAGCCUGGCAGGGCCUGCUUGAGUCUCAGGUCCGAGUGGAGCUCUCUGAAAGAUAUAACAGGCAGACAGACCCAGCACUAGAGCGCCACAUAGAGCAAGUGUGGACAGAGCGUGUGUCAAAAGAGCCGUGGCUUUUUAAUGGGGCCAAAUUCAGGCUACACUCUUUCCACUUGGCUUCCCCUAAAUAUUUCCCAUCAUCCCCCAUUACUUUAAAACAUCCAGCCUGCAGUCUUUCAGCACCUAUUUCCUCCUUGUCCUCUGUGGAGGACCAGAAGGCUGAAUUUCACAGCAGAAAAAGGUGGGAGGAGAAUUUGGAUGCUGUCCACGAGGACUUGGUUACUGAACGUACAGCUCAGAACAGAGUGGAUGGUAGAAACCUGCCUGCGAAUCUGCGAGAAACGGUACAUUGUGACUGCAGAGCAUCCGAGAGUGUUACGGCUCAUUGCUCCGAUAAAAACAAAAAUGUGGAGGACAGCAGGCCGUUCCUCACAUUCAGACUAGGACUGACAUGCUACAAGGACUUUCUGGGAACUAACUGGUCAUCCAGAGCGGCAGAGCUACGUAGGCAUGGCGAGGCAGAGUUCGGUGACCCUUUGGCACUUCUGGCUCAGCCUCUUGGGGUCGGAGCCGUCCUCUGCACAGAUGAUGGACAGGUGGUGUUGCUCAGGAGGAGCCAGCAGGUGGCAGAAGCAGGGGGGCUCCUAGACAUCCCGGGGGGCCACCCCGAACCCAAGGCCGUGUGUGAGGAGUGGAUAAGCGUCGCCACACUGCAGCAGAGACCGGGGGCCGUCGUCUCUGAGCUCUUCUCCUCCGUUUGUGCUGAGAUCAGAGACGAGGUGAAUGUUCCUCUGAGUUCUCUUGGACCACCUGUUCUGAUGGGUGUUGCUCUGAAUCACACCAGUGCUGGCAGGCCAAGUGCCGAAUUCUUCAUCAGAUCCUAGGAAGAGGCCUGGUACCAAAGAAAUAGUUGUCCCCUUACAUGACUGGUCAGCAUUAAAGUCUCACAACCGUAGAGGAAGCACCAGGACCCAAAAGACUUGGACCUUUGUUCUAAAGCAAAUGUAUCUGCAUCUCCAAACCCCUCUGUCUGGCGACCUCAUGACUCCAUAAGCUCUUCCAGGCAUCUCUUGAUCUCAAAGGCCGAGGACCCAGAGACAUGAAUGUCACUGCUGAGAUCAGUCAAUCUCUUUAUAUGUUGAAACACUUUUACUGCAUAGAUUCACUUCCAGUGACCAAGUCCAGGAAGUCAUUGAAUGCCUGGAUCAUAGUCUUGAUCCAGGACAAUCACAAAUCCUUUAUUUGGAGAUUUCAGAUACAGACACAUUUUUAAACAAGAGCAAUCAGAUGUUUGAUGUUCACCAAUUCGAUUCACCUCCAAAACUCAGUGUCUUCCACGCCCUAAUAUCUAUUGGUGGUGCAAGUUUGGGGAGAAUCUGUGAAGCAGUUUUAACGUAAUCCUUAAAAGCCUAUAAAGUGAAAUCUUGAUCCGGAUCCAGAUCACCUCCCAAAUUUAAUGGCGUCUUCCAUGGCCGAGUAUCUAUCUGUGGUGGAAAAUUUCAUCAAACCCUUGCAGUAGUUUUGACAUAAUCCUGCUAACAGACAGACAGACAAAUAAAUAAACGCCAUUUUAUUACGUCCUCUGUGUAUGUAAAAAUUCUUUAUUACAAUAGGGCUUUCUUAAAAUAAUUUAUUUUAAAUAAAAUAUGUUUCCAAUGUCCUGCCAAUGACACUUUGCUAUGUGUGUCCCCAGUUGUUCAUUGUUUUCUGAUGCAGUUAGAAAGUUGUACUGGAAAGGAGGCCCAGAGGCCCACGAGUCUACAGAUAUCGUGUUCCUCAGUAGAAAGGAGAUUCUGCAGCUGGACAGCAGCAGUCCUUUAUGGUUGGAACUGUGUCCUUCA